CUAAAAGAGUGUUUUUUUAAUUUUUUAAACUAUAUUUAUUAUUCAUAUUAAUCAAAUGACUUUAUGACUGUUUGGAAAAAGUAUUCUCAAAGUUUCAUUUAUAACAAAUAAUUGUUACUUUGCUUGUGGUUGAGAUUUAUCUACUUCAAUGGCCACUAAUUUUGAUUGAUUAAAAAAUUGUGUUAGCUCUUUUGGUGUAGUACUUCCAUAAGUUAACCAUGAAGAAGACAUAAGCAAAUAUCGGUUUAAUAUUUGAUUUAUUGCAAGAUCUAUUAUAAUACCAUCUUCAAUUAUGUGAUACCAGCAAAGAAUAUUUCCUAGUAAUUUUACAGCAACAUUAAAUUGUCUCUGAAAGAAAACAUUCAUUUUGCCAGAAUUCAUCACUCUGAAAAAUAAAUGACAACAUAAAACAGUAUUAUUUAUGAAUCUCGAAGCCUAUCAACCAAAUUAGUUAGAAGUGCCAUUAGGAGUUUGCUAUCAGGAUCAAUGCUAGGUCAAUGAUGGAUGGGAUGGGAAUUAUGGACGGCUAGCACAAGAGACCAGACACCAUCAAUGAAAAAAUC